CUGUGAUGCCAGCUGAUAUCCUUCCUCUGCUACUAUUUAAUUGCAAUUUAUGUUUUAGAAGAACUUAUAUGUGCAUGAAUUCUGUUGGUCUUGGUAGACUUUUCGGUUACUUUGUUUAUUUUUCCCCUGAUUACUUUUUUAUUUUUCAGUUCUUUGGCGCCUUGUUUCUUUUUGGAAAAAUGACAUAUUCAUACUGCUAAGUGCUAAGUGAUGCAUGCUUAUUGUGGUGGGUGAGUGGUUUGAGUACUUCAUUGUCUUAGUGAAAACUAGGGUUGUUUCCUCAUCAUAAUUAAAUUCCAUGUGCAUGAUCUUAAGAGAGACGCAAUUCAAGAAUGUCAUUUAGUUUUGCCUUUGGAGGAGAAUUUCAUAUCUUAGAAAAUCAGGUUGAUUUUAUGGAUUUCCAUAUAUGUUGAUAAACCAAGGUCAUAUCCUGUACUUGGUCUAUCAUCUAUUACACAUAGUUAUGAUUCUGUUUUCAUUUGGUUAG
rnacentral:misc_RNA from 1 species